rnacentral:rRNA from 1 species
CCUACGGGCGGCAGCAGUAGGGAAUAUUGCUCAAUGGGGGAAACCCUGAAGCAGCAACGCCGCGUGGAGGAUGAAGGUUUUCGGAUUGUAAACUCCUUUUGUUAGAGAAGAUACUGACGGUAUCUAACGAAUAAGCACCGGCUAACUCCGUGCCAGCAGCCGCGGGAAUACGGAGGGUGCAAGCGGUACUCGGAAUCACGGGGCGUAAAGAGAGCGUAGGCGGGAUAGCAAUUCAGAUGUGAAAUCCUAUGGCUUAACCAUAGAACUGCAUUUGAAACUGUUAUUCUAGAGUAUGGGAGAGGUAGGUGGAAUUCUUGGUGUAGGGGUAAAAUCCGUAGAGAUCAAGAGGAAUACUCAUGGCGAAGGCGACCUGCUAGAACAUAACUGACGCUGAUGCGCGAAAGCGUGGGGAGCAAACAGGAUUAGAUACCCCAGUAGUC